rnacentral:ncRNA from 12 species
GCAGAUGUAGCUCAGUGGUAGAGCGCAACCUUGCCAAGGUUGAUGCCAUGGGUUCGAGUCCCAUUAUCUGCU